CAGCCGCCACGGGAAUACGGAGGGAGCUAGCGUUGUUCGGAAUUACUGGGCGUAAAGCGCGCGUAGGCGGUUACUCAAGUCAGAGGUGAAAGCCCGGGGCUCAACCCCGGAACUGCCUUUGAAACUAGGUGACUAGAAUCUUGGAGAGGUCAGUGGAAUUCCGAGUGUAGAGGUGAAAUUCGUAGAUAUUCGGAAGAACACCAGUGGCGAAGGCGACUGACUGGACAAGUAUUGACGCUGAGGUGCGAAAGCGUGGGGAGCAAACAGGAUUAGAUACCCCCGUAGUCCCUGUCUCUUAUAC
rnacentral:rRNA from 1 species